rnacentral:rRNA from 1 species
UGGGUACCUGCCUGUAAGACUGGGAUAACUCCGGGAAACCGGAGCUAAUACCGGAUAGUUCCUUGAACCGCAUGGUUCAAGGAUGAAAGACGGUUUCGGCUGUCACUUACAGAUGGACCCGCGGCGCAUUAGCUAGUUGGUGAGGUAACGGCUCACCAAGGCGACGAUGCGUAGCCGACCUGAGAGGGUGAUCGGCCACACUGGGACUGAGACACGGCCCAGACUCCUACGGGAGGCAGCAGUAGGGAAUCUUCCGCAAUGGACGAAAGUCUGACGGAGCAACGCCGCGUGAGUGAUGAAGGUUUUCGGAUCGUAAAGCUCUGUUGUUAGGGAAGAACAAGUGCAAGAGUAACUGCUUGCACCUUGACGGUACCUAACCAGAAAGCCACGGCUAACUACGUGCCAGCAGCCGCGGUAAUACGUAGGUGGCAAGCGUUGUCCGGAAUUAUUGGGCGUAAAGGGCUCGCAGGCGGUUUCUUAAGUCUGAUGUGAAAGCCCCCGGCUCAACCGGGGAGGGUCAUUGGAAACUGGGAAACUUGAGUGCAGAAGAGGAGAGUGGAAUUCCACGUGUAGCGGUGAAAUGCGUAGAGAUGUGGAGGAACACCAGUGGCGAAGGCGACUCUCUGGUCUGUAACUGACGCUGAG